UACGAAGGGGGGCUAGCGUUGUUCGGAAUUACUGGGCGUAAAGCGCGCGCAGGUGGUCUUUCAAGUCAGUGGUGAAAGCCCGGAGCUCAACUCCGGAAAUGCCAUUGAAACUGUAAGACUUGAGGAUGAGAGAGGUGAGUGGAAUUCCCAGUGUAGAGGUGAAAUUCGUAGAUAUUGGGAAGAACACCGGUGGCGAAGGCGGCUCACUGGCUCAUAUCUGACGCUCAGGCGCGACAGCGUGGGGAUCAAACAGG
rnacentral:rRNA from 1 species